rnacentral:rRNA from 1 species
UGCGUAGGCGGUUUUGCAAGUCAGAAGUGAAAGCCCAGGGCUUAACCUUGGAACUGCUUUUGAAACUGCAAAACUAGAGUCCCGGAGAGGUUGGCGGAAUUCCGAGUGUAGAGGUGAAAUUCGCAGAUAUUCGGAGGAACACCAGUGGCGUAAGCGGCCAACUGGACGGGAACUGACGCUGAGGUACGAAAGCGUGGGGAGCAAACA